AGGGUGACAGGUGGUGCAUGGGUUGUCGUCAGCUCGUGUCGUGAGAUGUGGGUUAAGUCCCGCAACGAGCGCAACCCUCGCCUCUAGUUGCCAGCAUUCGGUUGGGCACUCUAGAGGGACUGCCGGCGACAAGUCGGAGGAAGGUGGGAUGACGUCAAAUCAUCAUGCCCCUUAUGACCUGGGCUACACACGUGCUACAAUGGGCGGUACAAAGGGCUGCGAACCCGCGAGGGGGAGCGAAUCCCAAAAAGCCGCUCUCAGUUCGGAUUGCAGGCUGCAACUCGCCUGCAUGAAGCCGGAAUCGCUAGUAAUCGCGGAUCAGCAUGCCGCGGUGAAUACGUUCCCGGGCCUU
rnacentral:rRNA from 1 species